GCCCCUGUAGGGAUAAAAGCAGCUUGGUCAACAGAGAUUAAAGAGUCUAUCCAUGGUUUGAGUUUAUUGACUAUAAUUUUAGAGACAACCUUAUAAAUGAAAUUGCAAAGACUUAUAGGUUUGUAUUGAUUAAUAGAAAUUGGUUUACAUUUAGGUAUAAUAACAAUAUUUGUUCUAUUUAGCUCUUUAAGCAUGAACCCAGAUACAAAAAAACUUUGAACAGCAUUACAAACAUCUCUCUCAACUAUGUCCCAAUUCUGAUGAUAAAAGAUGCCAGGAAAGCCAUCUGGUCCAGGUGCCUUCAAUCCUCCUAGAUCAAAAAUAGCUCGCUUGACUUUGUCAUCAAGGAAAGGAGCAAGAAGGUGAGCAUUUAAAUGUGGAGAGACUAUUAGAGGGAGUAGACCAGUGACUUCCUCACUACCUGCAAUGUGAUCACACUGAUAGACUUUUUAAAAAAAGGACAGAAAUUCAUAUCUGAUUUCCAGGUUAGAUUCUAACCAAGCACCAUCCUCCUUUUGAAUUUUAACUAUGGAGUUUUUACUUCUUCUUUGAAGGGUGGAAACAUGGAAAAACCUGGUGUUCCUAUCACCUUGAGAAAGCUAACUAAUACCAGACCUCUGUCUCCAAUGAGUUUCCUCUUUUUGCCAAAGAACCUACAGGUGACUUAAGAGCUACUUUUCAACAAAUUUAUCAUUCUCUUCCAUAGGAUUGGCGUAAAGUUCAUCUAAUUAGCAUUUGAGUUGUUGGAUUUCCUGGUGAUUACCUUGAAAAUGUUGUUUGCUCCACUUACUAAGGACAGACCUGAACUGCUUAAGUUUUUGAGCAACAGUAAACAUAGGAGAUCCUCGGGCAUAUCUAUUCUAGGCCUCAAAAAUGACAUUCAGGCAAUCAGAGUUUUGUAACCAUUUAGCUUCGAGUCUAAAUAAGAAUUGCUUUUUCCUGCACAAUCCUUCCAAAAAGAGAACUAAAGGUUGGCAAUCUAACCCAACCAUAGAUUCAUGCAAAAUAAGAGCUCUAGGAAAGAAUUCUCUCUACUCAAUGGAUACAAAAGCAUGAUUAAGCCUUUCUUGAAUCGCAGUGACAGCAAACUGCUUAUUAAAUCAAGUGUACACUGAACCUUUCCAUUCCAAAUCAAUAAGAGAGCAUUAUUGAUAAAAUCAGAGAGACCCUGGGUUUAAGAAGUAGUAAUAUUGUUCCCCCCAAUUUCUCAUCCUGAGAAAGAACUGAGUUAAAUCUGUAAUGCAAAUCCAAGGCUCCUAAGAAAACCCUCUAAGGCUACUAAUUUCUGUCUAAAAAAACAUUUCUAUUUUCAUGAUAAGGGCUGCCAUAAACAAAAGUAAAGAACCAAGAUCAAGUGGUGCCUUCCAACUGGACUAUUGUAUCUAGCAUAUAAACAGAGGAGUGAAGAAUUGUUAUCUGAAUUUCAUCAGUCCUCCAAAGGGAAAGAGAGCCCAACCGGAUUAACAUAUUCUACAUACUGAAAUUGACAUCUUCGGCGUAACCUUUCCAUAUAACCUUGCUUAUUUUUAGUCUCCAUCAAGAAUACAAAGGAGGGGCGGUGUUUGGUUAUGAGCUCUCCCAGAGCUCGAACUGCUUGAGGUUGCCCAAUCCCCUGACAGUUCCAAGACAGGGUUGUCAUGGCUUCUUGGGUGGCUUCUGGCCAGCCACCAGGGCCUCAAAGGAGGGAGAGACAUCAACACUUUCAUUCUCGCAUCGUGGAGCAUUCACUUGCUCAUCAUUUGUUUCAUUUACAUUUUUCGGAGCUUCAUCUACCUCGUUAGUGUCCACCGAAACAUCCUCGCAACUUUCAUUGCCACCAACUCUUGCUUGUCUUUUCCAUUUGCGGCUACGAACAUUCUCUACCACUAGAGUGCGGUCUCCAAAGGAUCAAAAGUGUUAGACUGAAUGAGAGCAGGGGAGCUAUUUAGUGGUAGAGGAGAAGUGUAGGUAAUGGGUUGACUAUGGCAGUGGUUCUAUCGAUGGAAGGGGUCCUUGCCAAUUGAGAAUAGAGGCUAUAGUUUUAGGAGAUGGGCUAGCACAAAUAUUUUUAGGUUUAUACAAACUGCUUGCAAGAUGGAUCCGACAAUCAAGCUCUUUGGGCUCAAUUAAGGUGAAGUCGUCUAACUUGGGAUUUUUAGUUUCAUGAUCUUAAAGAAAGAGUGGCUUGGCGAAAU
rnacentral:misc_RNA from 1 species